rnacentral:rRNA from 1 species
GACGAACGCUGGCGGCGUGCCUAAUACAUGCAAGUAGGACGAGUUGCGAACGGGUGAGAAACGCGUGGUGAACUACCUACUAGAGGGGGAUAACAAUUGGAAACGGUAGCUAAUACAGCAUACCCUGGUAUGUGCCCAGAUGGGAUUAGCAAUUAGGUGCGGUAACGGCUCACCUAGGCUACGCUGCCUAGCUGGUCGGAGAGGGUGACCGGCCACACUGGAACUGAGACACGGUCCAGACUCCUACGUGAGGCAGCAGUAGGGAAGCGUGGACAAUGGGCGCAAGCCUGAUGCAGCAAGGCCGCGUGUGUGAAGAAGGCCUUCGGGUUGUAAAGUACUGUCGGCGAGGAGGCGUUACUUGCAGAAGAAGCACCGGCUAACUCCGUGCCAGCAGCCGCGGUAAUUC